CAGAGGGCAAAAUGAGACUGACAGACGAAUGGACGGACGAACAGAGUUCCUCCUGGAUCGGGGUGUACUCAUCAGGUCAGAGACCAUGAAGGUGUUUCUGGUGGAAAUGUUUCCUUGUUACUGAGACAUUCAAGUCAGAGAGAAAAAUCCUACAGCAGUGUAACAUCCCCAAGGCAGUUUGGGGGGAUGUACCUGUUCUGAAGGCAGGACUGAAUUGUAGUUUCUAGCUUCGCCACUAGGGGGCGCAGCCACUUUGUGAGUAAUGUUUUGUUCAGAUGUGAAAUAAUGUUCAGGAAUCAGUGCAGAUCAGUUGAAGUUGUGUUUGUAGCUAGUUUAUGUGUCAAGAAAAUCAGAG